rnacentral:rRNA from 1 species
GGGGGAAAAUUAAUUAUUUAAUUAAUAAUAAAAGAAUUUUUGUAGUUAAAAUAUUUGAUGGGGGUUAAAGUAUUUUAAUAGAAAAAAUUGAAAAAUUUAUAGUAUAUUAGUAUUGUGAAAGAAUUUUGAAAUAUUUAUGAAAUAAUGAAUUAUUUAAAAAGUAGUUUUUAAUUAAUGUAUCUUGUGUAUCAGAGUUUAUUAAUAAUUUUUUUUAGAUAAAAAUUUCUCGAAUUUAAAAGAGAUAAUUAAUUAAUAAAGUUAUUGUGGCAUAAAUAUUUUAAAUAAUUAAUUGGAAAUGAAAUGUUAAUCGUUUUUAAAUAUAUCUAGUUUUUUUAGAAAAAAAUUUAAUUUUAAAUUUUUAUAAAAUAAAAUUUAUUAAUAAAUUUUAUUUUAUGGAAGUUUUAUAUUUUAAGGGAUAAGCUUUAAAUUAAAUUUAUAUAAUUAAUUUAGGAUUUAUAUUGAAAAUUUUAUAAUUUAUAUUGUUAAUAAAUUUUAUUUUAUUAUAAAUAAUUUCAAUAAAUUAUAAAAUUUAAUAUGGAAAUUUAUAUUUUUAUAAAAAAAUAAUUUUUAAUUAUUAAAAAUUAGUUAUAAUGAUAAAAUUAGUAUAUAAAUAAUAUAUUAAAUUAUAAUUAUUUGUUAAAAUUAAAUAUAAGGAAUUCGGCAAAAAUUUAUAUUCACUUGUUUAUCAAAAACAUGUCUUUUUGUAAAUAAUUUAAAGUCUAAUCUGCCCACUGAUUUAUAUUAAAGGGCUGCAGUAUUUUGACUGUACAAAGGUAGCAUAAUCAAUAGUCAUUUAAUUGAUGACUUGUAUGAAAGAUUGGAUGAAAUAUAGACUGUCUCUUAUUUAAAAUUUAGAAUUUAAUUUUUCAAUUAAAAAGUUGAAAUAUAAUAAAAAGACGAGAAGACCCUAUAGAGUUUUAUAUUUUUUAUAGUUAAUAUUAUUUGUAAAAUUAAAAUUGAAAUUAUAAAAAUUAUUUUGUUGGGGUGAUAAAAAAAUAAAAUUAACUUUUUUUAUUUUUUAACAUAGAUAAGUGGUUAAAUGAUCCAAUUUUAUUGAUUAAAAGAAAAAAUUACCUUAGGGAUAACAGCGUAAUUUUUUUUUUUAGUUCGAAUAAAAAAAAAAGUUUGCGACCUCGAUGUUGGAUUAAGAUAAAAUUUAAAUGCAAAAGUUUAAAAUUUUGAUCUGUUCGAUCAUUAAAAUCUUACAUGAUCUGAGUUCAAACCGGUGUGAGCCAGGUUGGUUUCUAUCUUUUAUGGAUUAUUAUAUUUUAGUACGAAAGGAAUAAAUAUGAAAAUUAAAUUUAAUUUAAUUGAAUAUUAAUAAUUUAUUUUAAAAUUAAUAAUAAAUUUACUAUUUUUA